AACGAACGCUGGCGGCAGGCCUAACACAUGCAAGUCGAGCGAAGCCUUCGGGCUUAGCGGCGGACGGGUGAGUAACGCGUGGGAACGUGCCCUUUGGUACGGAAUAGCCCCGGGAAACUGGGGGUAAUACCGGAUGUGGUCGAGAGACGAAAGAUUUAUCGCCAAAGGAUCGGCCCGCGUUGGAUUAGGUAGUUGGUGGGGUAAUGGCCUACCAAGCCGACGAUCCAUAGCUGGUUCGAGAGGAUGAUCAGCCACACUGGGACUGAGACACGGCCCAGACUCCUACGGGAGGCAGCAGUGGGGAAUCUUAGACAAUGGGGGAAACCCUGAUCUAGCCAUGCCGCGUGAUCGAUGAAGGCCUUAGGGUUGUAAAGAUCUUUCAGUGGGGAAGAUAAUGACUGUACCCACAGAAGAAGCCCCGGCUAACUCCGUGCCAGCCGCCGCCGUAAGAC
rnacentral:rRNA from 1 species